GAACGGCAGGGCGGACUUCGGUCUGGCGGCGAGUGGCGAACGGGUGAGUAAUACAUCGGAACGUACCCUGUUGUGGGGGAUAACUAGUCGAAAGAUUAGCUAAUACCGCAUACGACCUGAGGGUGAAAGUGGGGGACCGCAAGGCCUCACGCAGCAGGAGAGGCCGAUGUCUGAUUAGCUAGUUGGUGGGGUAAAGGCCCACCAAGGCGACGAUCAGUAGCUGGUCUGAGAGGACGAUCAGCCACACUGGGACUGAGACACGGCCCAGACUCCUACGGGAGGCAGCAGUGGGGAAUUUUGGACAAUGGGGGCAACCCUGAUCCAGCAAUGCCGCGUGUGUGAAGAAGGCCUUCGGGUUGUAAAGCACUUUUGUCCGGAAAGAAAUCGCGGUGGUUAAUACCUGGCGUGGAUGACGGUACCGGAAGAAUAAGCACCGGCUAACUACGUG
rnacentral:rRNA from 1 species